UACGAAGGGGGCUAGCGUUGUUCGGAAUUACUGGGCGUAAAGGGCGCGUAGGCGGCGUGUCAAGUCAGGCGUGAAAGCCCCGGGCUCAACCUGGGAACCGCGCUUGAGACUGGCAUGCUCGAGUUCGGGAGAGGAUGGUGGAAUUCCCAGUGUAGAGGUGAAAUUCGUAGAUAUUGGGAAGAACACCGAUGGCGAAGGCAGCCAUCUGGACCCGAACACUGACGCUGAGGAGCGAAAGCGUGGGGAGCGAACAGG
rnacentral:rRNA from 1 species